rnacentral:rRNA from 1 species
GAUGAGCGCUAGCGGCAGGCCUAAUACAUGCAAGUCGAACGGGAUCUGAGGGUAGCUUGCUACCCGAUUUGAGAGUGGCGCACGGGUGCGUAACGCGUGAGCAACCUACCCAUAUCAGGGGGAUAGCCCGAAGAAAUUCGGAUUAACACCGCAUAAUAAUACGCUAACACAUGUUGAUGUAUUUAAAUAUUUAUAGGAUAUGGAUGGGCUCGCGUGACAUUAGCUAGUUGGUAAGGUAACGGCUUACCAAGGCGACGAUGUCUAGGGGCUCUGAGAGGAGAAUCCCCACACUGGUACUGAGACACGGACCAGACUCCUACGGGAGGCAGCAGUAAGGAAUAUUGGUCAAUGGGCGCAAGCCUGAACCAGCCAUGCCGCGUGCAGGAUGACUGCCCUAUGGGUUGUAAACUGCUUUUGUUAGGGAAUAAACCUUCUUACGUGUAAGGAGCUGAAUGUACCUAAAGAAUAAGGAUCGGCUAACUCCGUGCCAGCCGCCGCCGUAA